rnacentral:miRNA from 1 species
UUGCUCAAAAAUUACUUCAAAGU